UACAGACUCCUACGGGAGGCAGCAGUGGGGAAUAUUGCAUAAUGGGGGAAACCCUGAUGCAGCGACGCCGGGUGGGAGAAGAAGCGCCUCGGCGCGUAAAGCCUUGUCAGCAGGGAAGAAAAUGACGGUACCUGAAGAAGAAGCCACGGCUAACUACGUGCCAGCAGCGGCGGAAAUACGUAGGGGGCAAGCGUUAUCCGGAUUUACUGGGUGUAAAGGGUGAGUAGGCGGCAUGGUAAGCCAGAUGUGAAAGCCUUGGGCUUAACCCGAGGAUUGCAUUUGGAACUAUCAAGCUAGAGUACAGGAGAGGAAAGCGGAAUUCCUAGUGUAGCGGUGAAAUGCGUAGAUAUUAGGAAGAACACCAGUUGCGAAGGCGGCUUUCUGGACUGAAACUGACGCUGAGGCACGAAAGCGUGGGGAGCGAACAGGAUUAGAUACCCUUGUA
rnacentral:rRNA from 1 species